AAAAACGUGUCUAAUCAAAGAGGUUUUGAACCGGUAAUCGCAGCAUUAGAAAAAAGGCAAUUUAGGAAACAAACGAAUCUACUAAAACUAGCAUUUUCAAAUAAAGUCUACACGUAUUCAGAUAGUCUUUGUUGGCUUUUGAAAACCUAGUUGAGAGGCAUUCAUUUUCCAAAGGAAAUGAUAAAGAUUUUCGUAUGCAUUGUAAGCCUAAGCUUAAUGGCAAGUGUUCACUCAGGACAAGAUGGAGGUUCUUCCGAUUGUGAAGGUAAAUUGAAAAGCAUAGUAAAUCAGAUAAAAUAAAAAUCUAGGUACCUAUACAAGUGAAAACGCACCAUCAGGUUCUAUUUUGCGCUAAGGACUUCACCUCAUUCCAAGACUUUCAGUGGGCUCUUAUUUCGUCCAUGAUGGACCAUCUCCAAGUUUGUGCUGGGCGACCUCUUUUUCUUUUUCCUGGGAGAUUCCACCCUAAGGCAAUUUUUGCAAUACUGGAACUAUUUUUUCGGAGCGUGUGAAUCGGAUCAACCCCACUUUCUGGACUUUAAAUGGAAAUUAUUUUAUGCGGGUUGUUUCUUAGGUCUCAAAUUUUACAUAAAGCAGCUGUUUCAUUUAACUGAUUGCCCCAUUAUUACCCUCACAGUAUUAAUGU
rnacentral:lncRNA from 1 species